UGUGGUCACCCACAACACCCAUUCAGAGGUCUUGGUUCUUCUUAUUUCUGCUUCAGACAGUCCUACUUGUAGGAGCGCUGUGUCACACGUUCUGAAGGCAUUUUCUCAAGAAGCUCGAACAGAUGAACUUGCUACUUACCUGAGAAAAAGCCCUGAAACUUCUGAUAAAAAGCUCGGCGCCUGCUCUGGAGGAAUAUUUUGCACUGAUGCAAACAUUUCAGAACCCGUUUGUGAGAGUUCUGUGCCCAUCUCCCUGUCAGGGCCCAGGCUGCUCAGCUGAUGCGCAUGGUGAACAGUCCUCCCACAAAAUGAACAAGCAUUUUCGUACUGAGCACUGCCUGAACUCUUUGGCUGGCAUCCUGUGAAGCACUUAAUCACCUGCUGCCCUGUAAGCUCAUCCACGGUAUGAGGAUAAUCAUCGAGACCAUUUACAUUUAGUCUUGCACUUGCUUCCCUGCAUCAGGAGCAGCACAUUCAGGGCCCUGACAGAUAAAGACCUAAAUGUGUAUCCCAGCAAACAGAGGCAAUAAGUUCCUGCAGCUGGCAUCCCACUUUUUGAUAAGACGCUUCUGAGUAUUAAGGUUGGGUUUUCACUGUAUAGAAGCCAAGUUUUAUGCCUCAGCGUUAUGUGCUGGUGCGCACCUCUGUGCACAGAAUGUCAACGACUGUUCAGACAAACUUUACAAUUACAUGUAUAGAAGGCAUCUACAUUAAAGGCCAUAUGAAGAUGUAUUCUAAUGUACAAGGCUUUUGAGAACUUGGAGAAAAAAACUUUUAAAAAAGAAUGACAGGAGAUUACCAAGUUUGAAACCAAUUUUAUGUGAGCCUCUGCAUUCUAAUGCUUUUGACUAAAUUAUAAACGCAUUGUCUACCUGUUCCCACUGCAGGAUACCUUGAAAGUAUUUAAUAGGCGUUGCUAAUUGCUCACAUUCAUUGUCUCUGAGGACUCCUUUUGCCAGUAUCUGGCAUCUUCUGGAAGUGUCAACCACUGAGGGAUUCAAAAUUUAUUCUGACUCUUUUAUGACUUGCAGUCCAAAUAGAGAUAGUAAGUCAUAGUUUCUCUUUACCAGCUUGUAGUAAUGUAGCCUUUUACUUAUCCAUGAUUGCAAGCAAUUAGAAAGCAUGUAUCUGUUGGGCUGCAUAUUUUGAAGCAAAAUAGCUAUAUGCAGAUUGGCUUAGAUACUGCUUUCCUUACAGACGUUGUCCUCCCGUUUCAUGCCUUUUUAUUAUUUUUGAUGCUCAGAUGAUGCAUGAUGAUGAUCAGAGAAGAUUUAUGUGUGUCACGGGGAGGCCAUAAAGUACAAGGUUAUAUGGGUCAAAGAGGGAGAUGACAGAAGCACGGGCUGAUAUUUUAACAGUAGGUACCAGGAGAAAAGGUUGCAUUUUGAUUUAAAGAGAAAGCUGUGAGAAGGCCUGUUGACAUUUAGGUGGCUGGCAGAAACUGUGGGUGGAAGAUUGCACUGUGAGCUUCAGAUAGUCGUCGUAUUCUUCGUAUCGUGGGAAAGAAAACAGCUAAUUGGUUUGGCUGGUGAGUUGUAACGUGAAGCCAGAUGGAGGCAAUCUAAACUUACUGCUUAAAAGUAGUAAUUUCUGAUUAGUUCUGUCACUGACACUGCCACUGGACCAGAUGCCUUGUACUAUGGUAUUGAGGCUGUCCUAGGAGCUCUCACAGUACUGGGCUUAUACUGGGCAAUACAAAAGAAGGGAAAGAGUUCAAAAAAAUUCCAAACUCUGCAGCAGGCCAUAGUCAGCUGUGUAUGGCUGAAAGAAGAAUGCUGGAUUUGAAUUAAUACACAGAUGAAAUACUGUAUAACUAUAAACAGCCACUGAGAAAUCCCCAUUCCUAGCUUAACUGCUCUAACAGGUUUGUAUAGUGAAAGGUCAUCAACUGUUAAACUUUUUUUUGCUAUAGUCCUUUGUCUUCCAUAGGAUCACUAUUUCCUUUGUGCUUGCAAUAAAAAUCUCAACAGUAAGUCACCAAGACAGUAAUACAUUUGCAAAAUGUUUUAGUGUGCACACAACUAUCUUAGGAGGAUGGAGAGCAUUACCUGGACUAGUAAUAAUCCCAUGUGUUUGGCUUUAUUCCUAAUGUCCCUGUGGGGUCAAAGUUGUCCUGCUGUCUGUGUGAAGGACAGAUGAUGAGCCUUUGAUGUCAGUUCAAGGUACAAAAAUGUUACUACUGUGAGCACUGCAAACCUCAGUAAACAGCUAAUACAGAGAUAAAUGCUUUAGGCUGUACCUCGUGUUCAUGUGCUGAAGUUGAAUACUAAGACUUUUCUGUUACUUAGCUAAUACUAGAGCCAUUACUUAUUCCGGGUAGCGGAGUGUACUUAUUAUUAUUUUCAUUACUAAAAAUUUUCUAAAUAUUUGCUCUAAGUUUAGAAUCAUGCUGAAAGAAGAAUAAACCUUAUUGACGAGUUCAGUUCACUUCCUUCGAUUGACAUUUCCAGGCUGAUAAGAUGAUGCGAUCAUAAAUCUCUGAAGAUCUCAACGUUACAGAAAGGCAUCUCAAUUAGCCACUAGAUCCAGAUGACAUUCUGACGAAACGUAUAAUGAGAAAAUUAAUGUAAUAUAAUCAUCCCUGUGAACAUAUAAGGUGUGCAGGCCUCCUGGGAUGGGAGGCAGAAUCUUUCCCUUGCUUUUUUCUCCUUUUCCUUUCCCUUCCUUGUCCCCUUGCCCGUCGCCUUCCACUUACCUUGCCUUCACUUACCUUCCGUUCUCCGCCUUGCUUGUUUUCCGCUUUUCUCUUCCGACUUCUUCAAGUCAAGCCUCCUCUCGACGCAAGUCUCCUCUCGACGCUUUCCUUGUGGGCUUGA